UGACACGUGAUUUUUCUCCCAUUUAAGGAUUUUUACGUAAAAAGUCUGGUGUGUUCUUGAUUGAAUGGUUUGUUCUCUUUUUAUCUUGAAUCGUACAAUAUUACUUAUAGUCGUGAUAUCUUGAUUAAAUAUUGUAGUUUUUAGAUCUUUGAAUAAAUUAUAGACACAAAUUAAGUUUUUCACAAUAAAAACAGACGAUAAACAUAAUAUUUUUGUGAGAGAAAAUACAAUAGCUUUCCAUCGUUGCUGCAUAUAUAUAUUACUUGCAGAGCUAAAAGCUUUUGUAGAUCUUAUCUAGAAAAAAAACAAAAAUCUUAAGGAAAUGGUAAAUGUGCUAGUAAGAAGAAAUUCUUGAAAAUGCAAUGCCUAUAUGAUUAGGCAUAAUGAUCAUAGCUUUGAAGCUUAAAUACAAGGACACCUUUUAAGGCUAGGUUAGCACACCAAAAGGACGUAGAAGGCUAGUGGCAAUUUUGUCCUAUUAUAAAGAGCAUCUCCAACUUAAUUCUUUAUCUUGAAAUUAAAAAAGUUUUUUUUUUACUCAAUUUUUUUUUUAAGAGUAUACUAGUAUUCAUACAAACUCCAAUUGCAAUUUUUUAUUUCUAUCUCCGUUCAAAAAAAGAAAAAGAAAAGAAACUCACUCAUUCCUCUCCAAAACUUGAUCAUUUUUUACUUUUUCUUGAAAAUUGACCUCAUUUCAAAGGUAUUGAGAAUAUCUUUCCAUUUGUAUUAAGUUUAUAAAAAUUGAAAUAUACUAUUAAAAGCUAUACAAGUUGUAUAGUACUUUAAAAUUAAUAUACAAAAUAAUCACUAUAUUUUGAACGAGCCUCCAAUAUGAAAAUUCAAAAUAGAUUCUUCAUUACAUAGCAAAAAAGAAAAAUAUAGUUUGUUGGAAAUUAAUCUUCUUACUAUAAAAUUAAUUGAUAUCAAAAAAAAAACUAAAAGUCUCUUAUAAAAUUCGAAUCGCAUCUCACUACAUAUGUUCAAAUAGAUGUCUAUAUGGGAAAACGUGCAUUGAAGUCAAAUGAUGCAAAAAGGACAAAACACGUAGGACAAAUUGAAACACAAGAUUCGUUAUGAACUUUAAAAAAGUUGGUUGUUUAUAUGUUAUAGAAAAUUUGAUUCCUAAGAUUUCUAUUUAUGUAAUUAUAAAAGCAAAAGCCUAUUUCUAAAUUGGAGAUUCCUAGGUUUGACUAAAGUUAUCCCGAGGAUGAUUAGUUAGUGACUUAACCAAAUGUCUCAACCGUGUUUAGGAAACCUCUGGAGAUUGCUAUGUUGUCAUAUAGUCUCUUAAGUUAAAUUAGUAGUGAAGCUAAGACAUUUUUAUUAGAUAAGUUUCUGAAAUGAAGAGGUACUGAAAUUAGUGAUGUAAAAGUGAUUGGGAACUAAAUUCCCCAAUCAUUUACAAAGGCAUCAAGCUCACCAAACUAGAUAGAUCACCAUGAUUAAGUUUGAUAUUUUCCUAAUUAAGGUGAAUUGAACUUAACAUGUUCACCGACUAAUUAAAUUUUGAUCGCCAAAUCUCAUUAGUAACGAUAUCGCCAAGGCUGUCUUGCCAAAUUCGAUGUAUACAUAAAACAAAGACAUCAAUAUCAAGGGGAGAAUAGAAAGGAAAAGAGUAACACAAUCAUAUGAAGAAAAUAUUCCAUCUUAUUGAUCUCGCCAUUACAUAAAAAAAUAAAAAAAGAAUGUGUACAUUGGAGUGUUUACUAAGGAGCGGGGCUAUUAUUCAGUUCGCCCUCCUUCUCCUUCUCCUUAUCAUCGCCUGACUCUUCCUCAUCUUCCUCUUCCUCCUUGAGUAGCUUGACAUCAAUUCCCAUGUCUUGAAUGUUGAGGUCGGGAUGGAGACAACCAAUUUUCCUUUUGCAAAAGUCAAAACUCUCACCAAAGUACCUGGAAGCUACAAAUUCAACAGCCUCCUAGAAGUAUCCAAGAAAAACCCCCACCCCAAAAAAUACUUGGACUCCUCAAUGAUUGAACUUUUUGACAGAUCUUCUUUUCUUUUUUCAUCGCUUGGCCACUCUUUCGACCUCUCCAUGAUGGCAUCUCAGCUUUCCUUGGUCUUCUUCAGCUUAUCAACAACCUGCUACUCUUGGACUCCAAUCUCGGCCAAUUGUUUCCAGCUAUGUGGACAGCUUUUAAGCACUAAUUAUCUCUCUCUCAACCGAGGCAACCCAGGCUUGUUGAGUCAUUGCCUCAUCCCUUAUCUCCUUGCCAUGACCAGUGAGGGAAAACCAGAGUACAACUGCCUAAAAAAGAUAAAAUCAUCAAAUUAAUGAAAUUUAUAGAAGUGUGAACUUAGCACAAAAUCAAAUGGCUACCUGACCGACGAUAUGAAAGAAUUUUGAGAUUGCCCAGUCUAGAUUCAGUUUCUCCACCUCUUCCUUAUCAGCAGGUGGGAUCACUCCCUCAAGAAGUUCCUCCACCAUGGCGGGAUUCUCCAACAUGGAGGCUUUUGAGCCCCAAGAUAGCACCAGGUUGGCCGAGGUUCCUUCCCUGGGGGCUAAAGCAGGUACUGCUUUUUUGCUCGCCGUGGUGGAGGAACUUCUUGAGGGAACUUCUUGAUGUCGCCUUAGACUUGGAAGACGACCUUUUCUUUUUGUCCUCUGGCGGUGGCAUGGAACCCUUCUUCUUGGCAUCAAAUGCUUGGUUGCCCUUCUUGCCAGGCAUCUCGACACGGGGGCGUUUCUCGCCAAUAGCUACCCCUUCGCCAUCAGGGUUGAUCUAGCCACCAGGUUUGCACUCCUGGACCUUUCAGCUAGCCAAGCGAGCUUCUUCAGGAUGAUCCUCUUUGACAUAGAUGUAAAAAAAAACCAACUUCAGUCAAUGAACGAGAAAAAAUAUUUUGAAAAGAGCGAAGGUAGUACCAUUCGAUCUGAGCUCGGGGGGCAACCAUGGUUCUGAUCAGGCCUUCGAGCUUGAACUUAAGCUUCCUGGUUCCUAACUAAGGAAAACCUAAGGAUUGAACAAUAUCUGAUCAGGAAGGCGAUAUAAAGCUUUCCUCUCCCUCCUUUGAAUGGUUUCUAAGUAUUCAACCGAGUCAUCUCAGGAAUUAUCACCACGACGAGGAUCAUCUUGGGAAUGAUGGGACUCACCCUCGUUGCCCGUGAUUGGAGUUGCACCGCUUGUCGAUUUAUCCUUGGCAUUGUCCCUAUCACUAGACGCCAUUGAUUUGGGGGCGAGUCCGAAGCUCCUAAGGAAGGACUUAGAUUCGAGAACUUCUUUGAUUGUAAAAAGAUCUCCUCCAUUAGUGAGUUCAAGAUCCCAUCGAGCCUAUCCUGCUCGAUCUUGGAUAAGACAGGCGACUUGUUGUAGCGCUUACCUGAAAAUGGAAGAACACUUGUUGGUCUCAAGAGAGGUGCUACACUUGAUAAAAAAGACAAAUUAGCGAACGAAGACUGACCUAGGGUGCCCCACGACCUCGGGACCCUUGGACCUCUGGCUUCCCCGGAUAUCUUCGAGGAGAACUCCUAGUCAUCUCCCGAGAUAAAAAAGAAUUUCUUCUUCCAUCCCUUGACAUUGCUGGGGUACCCGCUAACAGGUUCUUCUUUGGCGAGCCUUAAAAUAGAGCCAUCCAAAGUCUGACUUUGAGUUUUUAUUCAGACUAAAUAGACUCUUGAACUCGUUGAGGGAAAGGGUGAAUUUGUGAGCUCGCCAUAGCAUCACUGUGCAUACAACACUUCGCCAUGCAUUGGAGAGGAGUUGGGUGGGGCAAGUGUUGUAAAAAUACAAGAUUCUCCUAAUAGUGGGACGUAUGAGAGAGGAGACCAAACGUGUGAUGAAAGGCGGGCUCAUAAAAGGCCACCUCGCUCGAGGUGAGUAGACGCUAUGGUCUUGUCCACCUUGGGUAACCUGAUUUGAACGCCUGACGGAAUGGAGCAUGACUCUCUAAGACGAUCCAGCUUGUCUUGAGUCAUGGUAUUAAUUUCCUUCUCUCAAUUGGAGGUAGAGUAAUUGCUGAGGGACUGCCCUCAAGACUAGGGGGAACUCCCAAGGGGAGGAAGGAAGUUGAUUUAUCUUGUCGGUCAUGUAUGACUUUUCUCCUAAGUGAUCAAAAAUCUAUAAAGGUGGAGAAUUUUCUAAGUUUCCUACGUCGCCGUUACAAGACAUAAACCACAUAUUUAAUAAAGGUAGUUGGGUAAUACUUACAGAAUGACUUAGAUGAUGGCUAGAUAGAGAGUUAGCAAGGGCGAGGUUCACGUCGGAGCAAAAACAACAUUUUGUUUAUCUCUGGCAAUGGAAGAAUGCGUUGUGUGGUGGAACCCCAUAUUUAUAGGAAGUACCAAAGGCUGAGAUUUGUUUGCUUCAAUGGUUAAGAUCGCACGAUGCUUAGAAUCCGACGGUUUUUGUUGAACCACUGUUCCUGCCAAAAUGUCACUCCGCCAUAAUGCGCUCGUCCACGUGCCAGUCUGUGGAGACAUGCCAUCAUUACUUGCCGACAUCAUCAAACUACACUUAAAUUGCUACUUGAUGAUGCUGAGUUUUUUACCUCAGCAUCUCGAGUAGGAGGCAACUGAUGAGGGGUAAAAUCGUUGCAUGUUGACGAUCUGAGAUCAUCACCGUACAAAGACCAUGUCUCCAAUACCUUGCUUGAUCAUCACUCAGUUCUCCAAGUUCCCACUAAAUAUCCUUGUCCUCCUUCAAGCCUUGUCGUGCCCCUUGUCGAGGUGGUUCACCUCGGCCCGAUGUGUUUUACCUCGCCAUUUACCUUGAGGAUCUUGAGACUCCUCCUCCGUGAGACUCCAUCUCCGCCACUCCUCUUACAUUCGUUGUGCAUUCUCCAUAUGGCAACUUCCUUCUUUUACUUUGAGAUCCUCAGACACGGCUUCCAUACUUGGCAGCUCGAUCAUAAUGCCGUGAUAUUCUCGCAUGGCUCUCCAUUCUUCAUCUAUAAAAGGCCGCUCACCCUCCAUCAUAAGGGGUAAUUGCUCUCUCUAUACUUGGGCUUUAGCUUUGAUAUUCUACUUGAUCUAGCUUUUUAUCUUAGUCUCAUCUCCACGCUG
rnacentral:lncRNA from 1 species